AGUGAACGCUGGCGGUAGGCCUAACACAUGCAAGUCGAACGGCAGCACAGUAAGAGCUUGCUCUUACGGGUGGCGAGUGGCGGACGUGUGAGGAAUACAUCGUAAUCUACUUUUUCGUGUGGCAUAACGUAGGGAAACUUACUCUAAUACCGCAUACGACCUACGGGUGAAAGCAUGGGAUCUUCUGACCUUGCGCGAUUGAAUGCGCCGCUGUCGGAUUAGCUAGUUGGGUGGGUAAUGGCCUACUAAGGCGACGAUCCGCAGCCCGACUGAGUGAAGGAUCGCCGGCAUGGGAGCGGGACCAGGGACAAGACUACUACGAGAGGGAGCAGUGGGGAAUAUUGGACAAUGGUCGCAAGCCUGACCCAGCCAUACCGCGUGGGUGACGAAGGCCUUGGGGUUGUAAAGCCCUUUUGUUGGGAAAGAAAAGCAGCAGGCUAAUACCCAGCUGUUCUGACGGUAACCAAUGAAGAAGCACCGGCUAACUUCGUG
rnacentral:rRNA from 1 species